rnacentral:rRNA from 1 species
GCUUACGGCCAUACCAGCCUGAAUACGCCCGAUCUCGUCUGAUCUCGGAAGCUAAGCAGGGUCGGGCCUGGUUAGUACUUGGAUGGGAGACCCGCCUGGAAUACCAGGUGCUGUAAGCU